GGGAUUGUGGCUCAGUGGUAGAGCGCUUGCCUAGCACAUGCAAGGCCCUGGGUUCGAUCCUCAGCACCA
rnacentral:tRNA from 1 species